rnacentral:Y_RNA from 1 species
GACUGGUCCAAGUGCAGUGGUAUUUACAACUGACUAAUCACAACCAGUUACAGAUUUCUUUGUUACUUCUCCACUCCUGCUGCCUCACUUGACUAGCCCAAA